AGCGGCGGACGGGUGAGUAACGCGUGAGCAACCUUUCCUUCACAGGGGGAUAACGCAGCGAAAGUUGUGCUAAUACCGCAUGAGACCACGGGACUACAUGGUUCAGGGGUCAAAGGAGCAAUCCGGUGAAGGGUGGGCUCGCGUCUGAUUAGCUAGUUGGCGGGGUAACGGCCCACCAAGGCGACGGUCAGUAGCCGACCUGAGAGGGUGAUCGGCCACACUGGGACUGAGACACGGCCCAGACUCCUACGGGAGGCAGCAGUGGGGAAUAUUGGGCAAUGGGGGAAACCCUGACCCAGCAACGCCGCGUGAGGGAAGAAGGUCUUCGGAUCGUAAACCUCUGUCCUUGGUGAAGAGAAGAAGACGGUAGCCAAGGAGGAAGCCCCGGCUAACUACGUGCCAGCAGCCGCGGUAAUACGUAGGGGGCAAGCGUUGUCCGGAAUGAUUGGGCGUAAAGGGCGCGUAGGCGGCCUGUUAAGUCUGGAGUGAAAGUCCUGCUUUCAAGGUGGGAAUUGCUUUGGAUACUGGCGGGCUGGAGUGCAGGAGAGGUUAGUGGAAUUCCCGGUGUAGCGGUGAAAUGCGUAGAGAUCGGGAGGAACACCAGUGGCGAAGGCGACUAACUGGACUGUAACUGACGCUGAGGCGCGAAAGUGUGGGGAGCAAACAGGAUUAGAUACCCUGGUAGUCCACACG
rnacentral:rRNA from 1 species